rnacentral:rRNA from 1 species
UGGGGAAUAUUGCGCAAUGGGCGAAAGCCUGACGCAGCGACGCCGCGUGAGGGAUGAAGGUUUUCGGAUCGUAAACCUCUGUCAGAAGGGAAGAAACCGCACUGUGCUAAUCAGCAGUGCCUUGACGGUACCUUCAAAGGAAGCACCGGCUAACUCCGUGCCAGCAGCCGCGGUAAUACGGAGGGUGCAAGCGUUAAUCGGAAUUACCGGGCGUAAAGCGCACGUAGGCUGCUUUGUAAGUCAGGGGUGAAAUCCCACGGCUCAACCGUGGAACUGCCUUUGAUACUGCUUAGCUUGAAUCCGGGAGAGGGUGGCGGAAUUCCAGGUGUAGGAGUGAAAUCCGUAGAUAUCUGGAGGAACAUCAGUGGCGAAGGCGGCCACCUGGACCGGUAUUGACGCUGAGGUGCGAAAGCGUGGGGAGCAAACAGG